rnacentral:rRNA from 1 species
GUGGGGAAUAUUGCACAAUGGGCGAAAGCCUGAUGCAGCAACGCCGCGUGAGCGAUGAAGGCCUUUGGGUCGUAAAGCUCUGUCCUUGGGGAAGAAAAAAAUGACGGUACCCUUGGAGGAAGCCCCGGCUAACUACGUGCCAGCAGCCGCGGUAAUACGUAGGGGGCAAGCGUUAUCCGGAAUUAUUGGGCGUAAAGAGUGCGUAGGUGGUUUUGUAAGCGCGAGGUGAAAGGCAAUAGCUCAACUAUUGUAAGCCUUGCGAACUGCAAGACUUGAGUGCAGGAGAGGAAAGUGGAAUUCCUAGUGUAGCGGUGAAAUGCGUAGAUAUUAGGAGGAACACCAGUGGCGAAGGCGACUUUCUGGACUGUAACUGACACUGAGGCACGAAAGCGUGGGGAGCAAACAGGAUUAGAAACCCGUGUAGUCC